rnacentral:rRNA from 1 species
UACGUAGGGACCAAGCGUUGUUCGGAUUUACUGGGCGUAAAGGGCGCGUAGGCGGCGCGGUAAGUCACUUGUGAAAUCUCUGAGCUUAACUCAGAACGGCCAAGUGAUACUGCAGUGCUAGAGUGUGGAAGGGGCAAUCGGAAUUCUUGGUGUAGCGGUGAAAUGCGCAGAUAUCGGGAGGAACACCAGUGGCGAAGGCGGCGAUCUGGGAAGAUAACUGACGCUGAGGUGCGAAAGCGUGGGGAGCAAACAGG